rnacentral:rRNA from 1 species
CUGAUUCAGCGGCGGACGGGUGAGUAAUGCCUAGGAAUCUGCCCGAUAGUGGGGGACAACGUUUCGAAAGGAACGCUAAUACCGCAUACGUCCUACGGGAGAAAGUGGGGGAUCUUCGGACCUCACGCUAUCGGAUGAGCCUAGGUCGGAUUAGCUAGUUGGUGAGGUAAUGGCUCACCAAGGCGACGAUCCGUAACUGGUCUGAGAGGAUGAUCAGUCACACUGGAACUGAGACACGGUCCAGACUCCUACGGGAGGCAGCAGUGGGGAAUAUUGGACAAUGGGCGAAAGCCUGAUCCAGCCAUGCCGCGUGUGUGAAGAAGGUCUUCGGAUUGUAAAGCACUUUAAGUUGGGAGGAAGGGCAGUAAGCUAAUACCUUGCUGUUUUGACGUUACCAACAGAAUAAGCACCGGCUAACUUCGUGCCAGCAGCCGCGGUAAUACGAAGGGUGCAAGCGUUAAUCGGAAUUACUGGGCGUAAAGCGCGCGUAGGUGGUUCAGCAAGUUGGAUGUGAAAUCCCCGGGCUCAACCUGGGAACUGCAUCCAAAACUACUGAGCUAGAGUACGGUAGAGGGUGGUGGAAUUUCCUGUGUAGCGGUGAAAUGCGUAGAUAUAGGAAGGAACACCAGUGGCGAAGGCGACCACCUGGACUGAUACUGACACUGAGGUGCGAAAGCGUGGGGAGCAAACAGGAUUAGAUACCCUGGUAGUCCACGCCGUAAACGAUGUCAACUAGCUGUUGGGUUCCUUGAGAACUUAGUAGCGAAGCUAACGCGAUAAGUUGACCGCCUGGGGAGUAC